rnacentral:rRNA from 1 species
GACAGAGGAUGCAAGCGUUAUCCGGAAUCACUGGGCGUAAAGCGUCUGUAGGUGGUUUAAUAAGUCAACUGUUAAAUCUUGAGGCUCAACUUCAAAAAUCGCAGUCGAAACUAUUAGACUAGAGUAUAGUAGGGGUAAAGGGAAUUUCCAGUGGAGCGGUGAAAUGCGUAGAGAUUGGAAAGAACACCAAUGGCGAAAGCACUUUACUGGGCUAUCACUGACACUGAGAGACGAAAGCUAGGGUAGCAAAUGGG